GCAUUGGUGGUUCAGUGGUAGAAUUUUCGCCUUGCACGCAGGAGACCCAGGUUUAAUUUCCAGCCAGUGCA
rnacentral:tRNA from 1 species